GUGAUCAGGGACAAGAGAUCUUUGCUUUCCUUUAGGUGAAUGCUGAGGAUGAAAAUAAUACUCCUGUUUCUGCUAUUUCUUAAACAGAGGGACGCUAAAGGAAGCUUAAGAAAGAAGCGUGUGGGUUCAGACAAUGCUUUCUGGCCGGUGAGGAAUGAAACCACAAGGAUUAGGAGGGCAUCUAAUCGGACGGACGAUGGUGUGGAGAUGAGCGUGGAGCUUGCCCCUUGAGACCAGAGGCUCCAUGAACCCUGCACAGACCAUGUCAGGUUGUAUUCACUGUUGUUUUUUGGUGCUUGGGACAGGGCUAGACCCUUAGUGGAUUCUUAAUAGAUAUCUGCACCAAGCUGACGGAAAGACUAUGUAGUAAGACAUUAAUUUUGCAUAACUUAGUCAAACUGAACUGCAGAGUUUUUUGGCAAGCAAGGGCAAUAUUCAAAAUAUUUAACAAUUUGAACUUGCGCAAGUGCUGACCGAUAAGCACUUAUCCUGGAGCGUCUGGAGGCCCCUUGCUGAACAGCAGUCUUCAGUUGUUGGCUUGUGGGGUAGUAUGGGGGCGUCCCAAGAACAGGAGUCAGGGAGGCAGGGGACAAUGGGGGACAGCAUCUGUUUGUCAACUGAAUUUUAACAGCCAGCAAGGCAGUACUAGGAGAUGCUGCUGCACGUCAUCGGGGGGGUCACUGUGCAGAGCGCUUCAGCAUGCCCGGGAGCUAGUCGUCGUUCAUGACCAAACGUUGAAGUUUCUGCACAAAAGGUUCGCCUCCUGCUCCCAGGCUUCACUGUUUAUUUUCCCAGAAGCCUCUAUUCUGUUUGUUCAAUGACAGUCGAGAUGUUCAAGAAAAGAGUGAGCAAGGACAUGGGGGCUCUUCUUGCAGUGCGUGGAUGCACCUCGCAGACGAACGCCCGGUCCUCCGAGGCUGGCCAAGGCUCACUGCAAAAGCAGUGCCCCCUCCCCCUCCGCCCCCGCCUGGAAGCCCUCCCCUUUCGUCAGGGAGACUUCUAGACUUCAAGUCUCCUUGGCUGAGCAGUUGACCCCGUGGGAAGGGAGGGGUGGUGACAAAUGUUUGAACUCCAGGAGAUGAAAAGACUUGGAUUUUGGUCCUGCCUCUUCCUUGACCAGAUGGGCCAUUUUAGGCAAAGAGAGAAAAAGCACGCCCUAGUUCUGGGCCCUGUGAAGGAAUCAACCAGCUUCUCCCAGUUUCAUUAGCCAAAACCUAGGGGCUGGCGUCGGCUGGCUCUCCAGGGCUCUCCCAGUCCAGAGUCCUUUGGUGGCAUCUGCUCUGACCAUCCCCGGGCUGUGGCUUGUCCCUGUUUCCACUCCAUGCCCACUGUUCCGCCUGCGGCUCAGCUCUCCCCCUGGACGCCACCCAUGGGAGUCGGGGCUCCGUCCACUCUCCCUUGGCCUGAGCCAAAGGGUCUUCUGCGGGGUGGGGCCUCCAGCCCUAGACCUUAGCUCAGAGGGUCUCCCGUGGGAAACUACGGCCACAACUCCUCUUCCUCCUCCUCUUCUGCCCUUGCGUGCUCUCCGUCUCUCUCUCUCUUGCUCUUUCUUUCUCUCUUCUCUCUCUCCUCCGAUCUUCUUUUCUUCUUCACUGUCAGCUCUCUAGGCCUAACAGCUCACCUGUUUCAACUCCAAGGAAACCAAAAUGCUCAGGCCUCAUCACCGAGGCCAGACUGCCGCUUUCUUACUCUGGGUCCUUGAGAAAGUGGCUUAACCUCUCCCUGCCUCAGUUUCCUCAUUUAUAAAUGUAAAAUGCAUUCCCACCCC
ensembl:lncRNA